rnacentral:rRNA from 1 species
GAUACCCCUGUAGUCCUGGCCGUAAACGAUGAACACUAGGUGUCGGGGGAAUCGACCCCCUCGGUGUCGUAGCCAACGCGUUAAGUGUUCCGCCUGGGGAGUAUGCACGCAAGUGUGAAACUCAAAGGAAUUGACGGGGGCCCGCACAAGCGGUGGAGUAUGUGGUUUAAUUCGAUGCAACGCGAAGAACCUUACCAGGGUUUGACAUCCUGCGAAUCCCUUGGAAACUUGGGAGUGCCUUCGGGAGCGCAGUGACAGGUGGUGCAUGGCUGUCGUCAGCUCGUGUCGUGAGAUGUUGGGUUAAGUCCCGCAACGAGCGCAACCCACGUCUUUAGUUGCCAGCAUUUAGUUGGGCACUCUAGAGAGACUGCCGGUGAUAAACCGGAGGAAGGUGUGGAUGACGUCAAGUCAUCAUGCCCCUUACAUCCUGGGCUACACACGUACUACAAUGCUACGGACAAAGGGCAGCAAACUCGCGAGAGCUAGCAAAUCCCAUAAACCGUGGCUCAGUUCAGAUCGUAGGCUGCAACUCGCCUACGUGAAGGAGGAAUCGCUAGUAAUCGCAGGUCAGCAUACUGCGGUGAAUACGUUCCCGGGCCUUGUACACACCGCCCGUCACACCAUGGAAGUUGGCCACGCCCGAAGUCGUUACUCCAACCCUUGUGGAGGAGGAUGCCGAAGGUGGGGCUGAUGACUGGGGUGAAGUCGUAACAAGGUAGCCGUACCGGAAGGUGC